rnacentral:ncRNA from 12 species
GAUUUGGCCGAGCGGUCUAAGGCGCUAGUUUCAGGCUUCCGUGUGCCCGCACGAGAAAACUACUAGUCUUCGGGCGUGGGUUCGAACCCCACAGUCG